AUGGACAUCUUGCCGGUGAUCUAUGCACUACUCCAUUUGUUGGUACUCCAGUUAUUAGGAAAGCUAACUGCGCUAGCAUCUGGAGUUGUAACAAGCCACAACUCCGAAGGGAACUGGGCGCCUCCAUCACUUGCUAUGCUCGAUGGUUGCCCGAAGAGCUGUGGCAUUCUGAGCUUCGACUACCCCUUCGGCAUCGGAUCCAGGUGCUCCCGUGGGCCUGACUUCUACCUCACUUGCAACGACACUGCUCAGCCCCCCAAACUCUUCUUGCACGAUGGCAUCCUCGAGGUGAUCGAGGACAUCGUAGUUGGCACAGAUGGUAUUUCCACGUACAACCCUGGAAGAUUUAUCUACACGAUGUUUCAAUGUACCAUCCCCAUGAAAUCAGGUGUCCGUGUGUACAACUUGACAUUGAAACCGCCUGGGAAGUCCUUCAGCUUUUUGCACACCUUGCUAAACAUCACCGGUUGUGAUCUGGAUGUGUACUGGGUCAAGGGAAAUGCUAGCACAACCAUGCGCGUCUGCCGGACUACAUGCCCAGACCAUGGGAUCACAGAGACAGGGGCUAGGGAGACCUGUAACGGCAUCGGAUGUUGUCGCUUUGUUAUGGACAGCAUUGUCGACACUGUUGAGCUCAAAUUUGUCCAUGACCAAAACAGAAGUAACGGCCGAGCACACUCUAACGGGACCUCUCUACUGUGGGAUAGAAUCAGCAUAACUAGUUAUGGGAGUGAUAUGGUAUGGAAUAUAGUGGAUCAGCCCAACUGUCUUAGCACCAUGCACAACAGGACGGCCUAUGCCUGUAUCAGCAAGCAUUCAGAGUGCUUCGAUGUAGGUGUCGCAUCAAGCAAUGGCUACAACUGCAAUUGUAACCAAGGUUAUACAGGCAACCCCUUCAUUCAGGAUGGCUGCUCUAGUGACAAAGGGUAUAAUCCAGUUCAGAGCAAAGCUCGAUGUACUCGUUGGUGCGGUAACAUUAGUAUGCAAUUCCCAUUUGGAUUUGAAGAGGGUUGUUUUGCAAGGGACCAGUUUCGCCUCAACUGCACAAAUGUGACGUCAUCAACUGUUUUCUGGUGGGGGCGUCAGGUAAUUGACAUAAAUGUUGAUGCAGGGACCAUAAAUUUCACCGAACCCGAAUCAGUAGAGAUGUUUCUAGAGAACAGUCUUUUUGUUAGAUCUGGGUCAUCUCUGCAAUGGGUUGCUGCUAACUUAAGUUGCGUAGAAGCCCAACAAAAUAGGUCUGGAUAUGCUUGUGUGAGUACCAACAGCAAGUGUAUGGAAGUAAACGCUGGAGAAGCAUACAUGGGUUACCACUGCAAAUGCUCAGAUGGCUUCCAAGGAAAUCCAUACGUUCAAAGUGGUUGUCGAGAUAUUAAUGAAUGCCUUCAACCAAACAGUUGUAAAGAGAUCUGCCAUAACACAGAAGGAAGCUUCAAUUGUACUGAAUGUCCUUACAAGACACAGUAUGAUCCAUUUAAAAUGCAGUGUACUAGGACAAAAGAGCGGACUCUGCUCUUAGGUAUAAUUAUUGGGCUAUCCUGCGGUUUUGCUAUUCUACUUCCGAGCUUCAGUUCAGUACUUCUCAUUCGUAGAUGGAAAAGAAAUGUUCAACAGCAACUGCAGAAGAAUUAUUUCCAGAAGAACCAAGGUCUUCUCCUAGAAACAUUGAUAUCAUCUGAUGAAACUGCAACUGAGAAUACUAAGAUUUUCUCGCUAGAAGAGCUAGAGAAGGCAACAAAUAGUUUUGAUCCUACACUUAUCAUCGGACGUGGGGGCCAUGGCAUGGUUUACAAAGACAUAUUGUCUGAUCAGCGCGUCGUUGCAGUAAAAAAGUCUAAGGUCAUUGAGCAGUCCGAGAUCAGUCAAUUCAUCAAUGAGGUCGCAGUGCUCACUCAGAUAAACCACAGAAAUAUUGUGAAGCUAUUUGGAUGAUGUCUCGAAACAGAGGUUCCGCUGCUGGUGUAUGAUUAUGUAUCCAGUGGCUCACUGUCUGAAGUUCUUCAUGCAGAUGCAAGUGAUGGUUUUUCUUUAUCUUGGGGUGAUUAUUUAAGGAUUGCCCUCGAAACAGCAGGAGCUCUAUCUUAUCUCCACUCUUCAGCUUCCAUAUCAAUCUUCCAUCGUGAUGUGAAGUCCUCAAAUAUACUCUUGGAUGUGAACUACACAGCUAAAGUUUCAGAUUUUGGUGCGUCCAGAUUGGUUCCUAUCGAUCAAACACACAUUGUUACAAAUGUGCAGGGUACAUUUGGGUACUUAGAUCCAGAGUAUUUCCAUACUAGGCAGCUGAACGGGAAGAGUGACGUGUACAGUUUUGGUGUGGUACUGGUGGAGUUGCUUCUCAGAAUGAAACCUGUUUUCACAAGUGAAUCAGGCACGAUCAAGAGCUUGUCGAACUAUUUUCUCCAGGAGUUCAAUGAAGGAAGAAUCACAGGUAUUGUUAAUUCCCAGGUCCUCGAAGAAGCAACCGAAGAAGAAAUCAACACUGUCGCCUCUUUGGCAGAGCGGUGCUUGAGGCUACACGGCGAAGAAAGACCAACCAUGAAACAGGUGGAGACGGAACUGCAGACUCUCCAGACGGAACGGGUAAAGUCAUCUCAGGCAGAUCCAAGGAAUGAAGAACCGAUGCCACCAAGGACGUUAACUCGAAGGACUAUAUCUACUCGGCAAUCGUCUGUACCGUCAGGAGAAAGCCAACGACGAUAUAGCUUGGAGGCAGAGUUCAUGUCAUCUGCUAGCAUACCACGCUAG
rnacentral:rRNA from 1 species